CUCCAUCUCUAGACCUCGUGAUCUGCCCACCUCGGCCUCCCAAAGUGAGGAUGCAUUUUACAACCAGCGAUGUGUCCCAGUUUAAUUGAGCAUGAUUUUUAUUUCUUAUUGGUAAACAGUGAAUUUCACCAUUGAUGACAGCUUAAAUUCAAUAAAAUACAAAAUUUUUUCACUUAACAAUAAAUUCUAGCUCUCAGGAGCAUGGGAUUAUAUAAUUAGAAAGAGCUGAGGACCACAUUUGUGGCUGGAAAAUAGAAUGCUAUAAUUUUUAUUCAGUUUUUGCCCUUGCAAAACAGGAACCCAAACAGAGCAAUGAAGUAAAAUAAGGCUCUUGUAAAGCAGAAUAUAGUUUUGAGUAGUUUAAAAUAGUUUAAGUAGGGAAGUCCAAAUUAUAGAAGCAGUAGCACUUUUACUCUCUGGAAAAAUGAAUAAUUUUAUAGAAGCUAAACAAACCCAAGGAAGUUCAGAGGAACGAAUAGCAGAAAUUGCCUCAGCAGCACAGAAUGUGCAGAAGUGACUGCCUCCACUCUACAUCAAGUAAUGUGUCCUCUCUGAAGAUGAAAAAUAACUUUUUAAAAUUCUUGGAAUUUUUCAGGCUGCUAUAGCAAGGCAAAGGAGUCUUAAUGGAAAUAGAGACCAGGAGCCCAGUGAAGUCUACCCAGGAAUCUUAGCCAGUGAAGUGAAGUAGCAGUGAACAUCUAUGCUUCAAUAUUCUUCUCAGGGUGACAGACAGUAGCCAUUUGAUCAAGCAAGUCAGGCAAAUAUAUAAUUCUGUUUUACAGGGUAGAGUUCACCAUGAACAGUCAUCUAUUGCUACUCCCUAUUCUAGAAAAACAACAGUAGGUCACCUCACAGAAUACCAGGUAAAUUCACAUUGGUUUCAAGGAGUCCAAUAUUAUAGGUGAGGAGAAUAGUACACUGCAACAAACUGAUAUGUAGAUGUUGACAUUUACACAGUUUUAAUAUUUUUAGUAAUGUUUUGGCUAGUUAUAUCCAUCAUGAAACAAGGAAUACUGAUGUUGAAACAUAAUUUCUUUCUUUUUUUUUUUGAGAUGGAUUCCCACUCACUCUGUCGCCCAGCUGCCAUCUCGGCUCACUGCAAACUCCGCCUCCCAGGUUCAAGCGAUUCUCUUGCCUCAGCCUCCGGAGAAACUGGGACCAUAGAUGCGCAUCACCAUACCCACUAAUUCUUGUAUUUUCAGUAGAGACGGGGUUUCACCAUGUUGGCCAGGUUGGUCUUGAACUCCUGACCUCAAGUGAUCCGCAGGACUAGGCCUCCCAAAUUGCUGGGAUUACAGGUGUGAGCCACAUGCCCAGCCAGCAAUACAAUUUCACUCAAGGACCCAUCCGGCCCACAAAGAAAGAGGUGGCCUCUGACUGCAGCGCACAUGAAGCCUGCUCAACAGCCUCUGGGCAUGUGAAAUCUGUUCUAUACGCUGAGGCUUUAUAGAGAAACGCACUAGCUGGUGUUGAUCUCCCAAUACAAGUUUCUUCUGGCGGGAAGGAUCUACAACAAAAAUUAAAAAGGGAUAGUGGAUAAAUACAAACAAAAUAGACCAGGUAGGGUUGGGGGCAGGGAUACUGGUCAGGUAAUGGGUUCCCCUAAUGCCUUACUGCUAGUCCUUCUCUUCUCACAGCAACUAAGAAUUCUGUUUGGAGUGAGAGCAAAUGUAUUGCUUAUGACCAACACUGUCCAUGCCCACAAAAGCAGCAGGCUCACUCUCAAAGUUUUAAGAGUCUUUGACAGAAACUCUUCCCAAUCAUCCAUGGCUAGUGGCUAUCCUAGGCCUAAAAGUGAAAGACGUGGAUUCUAUCUCUUCAGUUUUAUUUACAAGCCCUUGAUUUAUCAAGUUUGGUAAACCAGCAACUAAACCUCCCCAGAAUUUUCCACUCUUAAAUGUAGAGGAUGUGGAUAGGAGUCUUAAAUUUAAAUUAGUGAAGAAAUAGGCUGCUGACCAAGUAACUCCCUGAUAGUGUGCCGCGGCACAGCUUGGCUCAAGCCUUGCAAAUGCUCAAUGAGAGAGAAAGUAUCGAUGAGACGUGAACGAAUGGCAUCAGCUCGGGGAAGCUGCAUCUGCUCUUCUUGUUGGUAAGCGGCCAUGUCUGCUAAGAAAAUGUAAGCAUCAAGUGUCAUUUCAUUCUUGGAGCUGCACCAAGGAUUACAGGUUUUCUGUCCCCUCCUCCCCACCCUCUUUACCCUUAAGAUUCCUUAAUGUACCCACAUCUACGAACUAGGAGCAGUUGGGAAGAACAAACAUUCUACUAGGACUCAGGGUGUUUUGAAACAAAAGGGGCUAAGUGGUAAAGACAUUGCACAGUCGACCAAGCGGCCAGGCAUCUUCACUUUGUGAUGGCAUUUCUAAUUAAAACUCAUUAAAAACAAAACAAAACAAACAAAAACACCGCAAGAAAAAGGAGCAGCCACAAGGGCAGGGGCCCGGGGCUGGACAAAGAAUCUGGGUCCCACCUGUGCCUGAGACAAUCGGGCAAUGAGGUGGAGUUGGGGGAGGUCUUGGCCUGCUCACGCAAGAGAAACCAAGUGCAGAGAAAUUGGACAAAAUGCCAAAGCCUGACAUUUUGAAAAUGGGUCCCGUCCCAAGUGUGUCCACUCCAACACUCCUUCGGGGGCUAGCUCCUUCUCUCCUCCAUUCUCGCUUCUGGGCCUCACCUCAGCCCAGGUUCUCUUUGCCCACUCAGUCCUUAUUUCACGCUUCCGCCUCCAGCUCAGGUGCCCCGAGCCUGGC
rnacentral:lncRNA from 10 species